rnacentral:rRNA from 1 species
GAUGAAUGCUGGCGGCGUGCUUAACACAUGCAAGUCGAGCGGUAACAGGUCUAGUUUACUAGAUGCUGACGAGCGGCGGACGGCUGAGUAACGCGUGGGAACAUGCCCCAAAGUGAGGAAUAACUGCCCGAAAGGGUAGCUAAUGCCGCAUAUGAUCUUCGGAUUAAAGGAUUUAUCCGCUUUGGGAGUGGCCUGCGUAUGAUUAGGUAGUUGGUAGGGUAAUGGCCUACCAAGCCGACGAUCAUUAGCUGGUCUGAGAGGAUGACCAGCCAGACUGGAACUGAGACACGGUCCAGACUCCUACGGGAGGCAGCAGUGAGGAAUCUUCCACAAUGGGCGAAAGCCUGAUGGAGCAACGCCGCGUGAAGGAUGAAGGCCCUCGGGUUGUAAACUUCUUUUAUAAGUGAAGAAUAUGACGGUAACUUAUGAAUAAGCACCGGCUAACUACGUGCCAGCAGCCGCGGUAA